rnacentral:pre_miRNA from 1 species
CUAAUACUCCCUCCGUUCGGAAUUACUUGUCUCGGAAAUGGAUGUAUCUAGAACUAAAAUACGUCUAGAUACAUCCAUUUCUGCGACAAGUAAUUCCAAACGGAGGGAGUAUUUG